CCGCAGGGGGCUCUCUUUGCUCUUCCUCCCUGGUCUUCCCUUUCGCUUCUUCUUCCUUUUCCUUUUUUUUUUCCCUCCCUUUUCUCCCCCCCUUCCUUUCCUUCGAUACUUCUUGGCUUGAGUGUGGUAGAGGUUGGUGGAACUGCGAGUGUAGAGGUGAAAUUCGUAGAUAUUCGCAAGAACACCUGUGGCGAAGGCGGCCAACUGGACCAUCACUGACGCUGAGGCGCGAAAGCGUGGGGAGCAAACAG
rnacentral:rRNA from 1 species